rnacentral:rRNA from 1 species
GUGCCAGCAGCCGCGGUAAUACGUAGGGCGCAAGCGUUAUCCGGAUUUAUUGGGCGUAAAGAGCUCGUAGGCGGUUUGUCGCGUCUGCCGUGAAAGUCCGAGGCUCAACCUCGGAUCUGCGGUGGGUACGGGCAGACUAGAGUGAUGUAGGGGAGACUGGAAUUCCUGGUGUAGCGGUGAAAUGCGCAGAUAUCAGGAGGAACACCGGUGGCGAAGGCAGGUCUCUGGGCAUUUACUGACGCUGAGGAGCGAAAGCAUGGGGAGCGAACAGGAUUAGAAACCCCAGUAGUCC